UCCGCUGUUUGGCUGAUCCCAAAGAGAGAAUGUGGCUCAGGCGUGGAGUCAGGAGGCAAGCUCCCAUCACCGUCACAGUCUCCAAGAGUCUAGAACCUUCUCCAUUGCUGCUGAUCUAUGGGACUAGAGGACCAACCCGGUGUUGAUAUUCAGGGACAGGUGGCUCCUUACUGUGUCUUGGAGACUCCCCUCAUGGCCUAAGUGAGUGGCUGUUCCUAUGUAGUCGUGAGGAGCAACUUGGGAAAGGGAAGCAUGGAACAGCUAUCCCAGGAAACUGUUAUGGCAACGGAAAGACAACAGAAGCCCUCGCUAGCCUCUCUGGAAGCCCAUUCAUCCCCAGAACUCUCUGCCUUCGCUGAGCGGACAUUCAUCAGCGGUCAGGUAGCCUGGUAAGUGUCUCAUGGAUUUUCCACUUCAUGCUUGCAGUGACAGAUGUCUACCGAGCACCUACUACGUGUCAAACUCUAGCUUACAUGUUAGGGAUGCUGCCUAGAUCAAAACACAGCCACAUGCCUGCAGCCAUGCUUUACAUUCUAUCCCAGGCUGCCCAAGGCAGAACUAAGGUCCAUUUCCAGUGAACUUCAUGGCCGAACCACAAACAGAUCACAGUCCUUUGGGAGUCUUACACAGCUCUCCAGAGACACCGUAUGUGAAGCCGCUGCAAAUGCGUCCAGCAUUCUUGGGUCACCGAAGGGAGCUGUCUGUCAUCUACUGGAUGCCCAGGCAGGGCCUGAGGCUGAAGAGAGUGAGUGUAGGAGCCAGUGUGUGUUUCAGAACCUCGUCUGUAAAGUGGGGUAACAACCGGCCUAUUAGUUGCCUUGUGGGGAACACAGGAAGUGAACCCCCUUUGCAAGGUGGGAAAAGGUUAGGUGUGAGCCGUCAGAGCUCUGUCUCUCAGUUCCACAUUCAGAGGGCAAAGCAGAGGAGAAGGGAGCACCAGCCUAAGCUUUCGCAUUCAGGGACCAAAGCCUCUCCCUUCAGCCCCCACACUGACAUCAGUGAAAGUCUCCCGGACCAGAACUGGCCAGGAAAAAGCAGAGAGAGCCAGCCCAGGAGUGCAGCUCCUGCAGUGUGAGUGUGGCUCAAGGAAGAGGUGAAAGCAUUCAAAAGAUUCAGGGUUCAGCUAGGUCUCCCCAAACAGGAAGCAUCCGUGGGCAAGGUCACCUGCCUAGGGAGGAAGCUCUGAACUUCGUGUGCCUCCUGGGUCAUGGUCCUUGCAGUUGGGUGGGACUGUGCCUCCCAUUUUUCCAGAGAGGGUUCUCAUGACACGUGAAGCCAGUCCUGAUUUAAUAGGAUGCUGAAUUGCUGCUGCUGGAGGACACUGGAGCUCGCCUUCCCACCAAUCCAUGAGCACACAACUUGGUUCGAGAUGCGUUCCUGUCUGAGGACACCUUGGUAACCUAUGUUGCUGGGUCAUUAGCAAAGAGCCUGCCCACAGCCGCAGGGCAGCGCCUGACUGCCGUCAGAAACAAGCACCUGUAAGAGGGUUCUCUGAGUCACGUGGUCACCUCCUGCCGGUGGUCCCUGAAAUGCCAAAGCACCACCAGAAAGCCCAGAAAUGCUAACCACGUGGCCCUAAAUAGACUGAGGAAAUAUUUACACCAUGAGUAAGAAGGAAUGUUUGGCCUCAGUUGGGAAUGAGCGUCAAACGUCAUCCUUGAACUAAGACUUGACACCUCUUGGCACCUGAAGCUGUGUGAGCACUGACUUGGAGUUACAAAUAUUUUUUAGCAAGUGGCAAAUUCACUGACCCCUGUGAUGAGGACAGUACAAGAAUGGCAUUCUGGUGGCACUGGAACCAUUGCCCUCACUGGUACCCUGCUCUUGACCUUGGUAGGAAAGAGGAGGUGGGGAGACCCUGGAAGUUGUACAAGCAGCCCCCUCACUCCCUCCUUGCUCAAGAAGGGGCUGUCAGGGAGAAGAAAGUCCCCUGCUGUGGAGUCUUGUUACUCCUUAGACCUCUGCUGGGACAUGCCCACAGCUGGUGCCCAACCCCUCUGCCCCCGCCCUGCCCUAUUCAUGGGCCUGUGGGGCUAAGCUAAAUUCCUUCCACAGCAUAAUUCAGUUGUUGCAGCCCCUGAACCCCAGGAAGGCAGGGUGAGGGCUCUGGGGUCAGCCCAGGUCUGUUGCGUGUUCCCUUCCAGUGACCACCCACGUCACAAAGGCCUUCUGGAAACUGGGCAAUAUGUUCUUGGCACCCUUACAGACCCAACCAGACCUCUUCUCUUCACACCAGCAUCCAGCCUAGGCUACUUCCUCGUGAGAAAGUGAGAGGGUGAGAGGGAAGCCCUAUCGCCAUCUUGAACUUAAUAAAAUACAGCAGGUAUUGACCCACCAUAACCCCAACCGGGCCAGAGGAAGGUUCACAUCUCGCUGUGGUUCUAUGAAAGGCUGUACUUCCCUGACAGCCUGUGAAGGGAGCCAGGAGGAGGGUGGGACUCUCAGGAGUCCUAGAGACUCACGCCAAGGAAACCACAGGCGGCCAAUGGGAAGAAUGGGGGCUCCUUAAGUGCCAAUGGCAGCUCAGCUCCGUAGCCUCUGGGAAGCUCUGAGUGAAGCCAGCAAAGUGGAUGUCCCCAGGAGAAUCGUGACAGGUACAAAACAGGAGUGAAGAACAGAAACGUCAGAGUUGCCUUUGGAGGCGCCACAAGGGCCACCAGGGGACAGGCUGUGCUAGGUGGUGUUGGUCUUUAAAUAAAGUGACCAAAGAAAGCCUUUUAUGGUCACAGCUGGACUCACGGCUUGGGGUAGCUCUUGUUCUUAAUCAGGCAACCUCGGGCAUCCUCUCUGGCCCCGGAGUCCACACCCUCCCAGUCGAGUUAAUUAUAACGCACACCCAGUGAAGCUGAGGUUCGGCAUCAAAGUCACGCAGCUGUCAACUGGAGCUCACUGUUAACUGAGCCGCAGACACCCUCAGAGUGCACUGACACCACCAUUCCACAGUUGGGAAGGAGGUGCUCCAGGCUGCGGCAGAUUCCAGACCAGGGUGUCCAACUGUGUAGGGCUCAUUCCAGGAGGGGCCCUUAAGGGGAACUGGAGUGGCCGGCUCUGCAAGAAGACCAAGGAUGAAGCAUUAGACGGCGAUUCUGAGAACCUGAGCUCGCAGUGCCCGACUGAGACUGGGUGCUCAGAGAAAGCCAAGUGGCUACCACCUUGUGUGUAAUCAAUUACAGGUGGCCCAGAAGACUAAAGCAGUUUCCAGGGGCUUGCCACUCCGAGAGUAACUACAGAAAGAAAAAAAAAUAAGUGAGAAACUGCCCUUAUCCAUCCUGUGAGUUCAAGCAGUAGGGUGUCAGGGCCACACAAGGACAUCCUGAAGGAUCAAGGUGGCUUUUUUUUUUUUUUCAGCCACAGCCCUUAGAUUCACCCAAACCAAACCAUGACCUGUAGUGCUGAGCCUAGAAGCCAACUCCUGUACCCCACUCUGACUCCAGUCCUGAGCUUCUGUAGUGGAGGGUGGGCCUCAACGGGCGCCAGACAGGUUGUUCCCAGCACCUGAUCACUGCCUGCAGUCCACAGCCCGUCUUCACGCUGUCCUGAUCCCCUUAGCGGAGCCAGGGUGCAGAAGCCCAGAGCCCAGUCUGGAGACCUCAGGGCUCCACAAACUCAUCCUUAUUGGCUCUUGUCACCUCCAUCUCUCCAGAUCCCCACCUUGAAACUUUCUCUCACUUCCUGGAUGUACCUUGAAUCCAGAGUGCUUUGGGCUGUGUAGAUCUGAGAAGCUAGAGAAGAGAAGGGAAGGUCUGAGUCAUAGCAUCUCCAGCAUGGACAGUGCUUGUCCUCAAAGCUAGCCUCCAGUAGCCACCAUGCCAACCUUCCUACUCUGGUGGCCUUGGGACAGGGAAGCGCAGUGAGAUGUCCAUACACCUACUGCAGUGAUGUGAUUUAAACGUUAGUGUUCUCCAAAAUAUCUGUGUUAACGCCUGCCCUGCAAGGAGAUCGUGCUAGGGUUGGACCAGUACUAGGAUGGUCUCCAGGGAGAGCCCUCAGGAAACAAGCAGCUAUGAAAGUUAAUACUGACUGUCAACUUAAUGGGAUUUAGUGUUGCCAUGGAAACAAACUUCUGGAUGUGCCUGUGAGGGAGUGUUUAGACUUGGUAAACUGAAGCAGAAAGACCCGUUCUAGGGGUGGGUGGCACCAAUCCUAUGGGCUGGGUCCGUGGCUAAGUAAAAGAGAGAACGGUCUGAAUACGG